rnacentral:tRNA from 1 species
GGAGAGAUGGCAGAGCGGUCGAAUGCGGCGGUCUUGAAAACCGUUGACUCACAAGGUCCGGGGGUUCGAAUCCCUCUCUCUCCG